GAUGAACGCUGGCGGCGUGCUUAACACAUGCAAGUCGAACGAAGACAUCUGAGUGCUUGCACUUGGAUGGACUGAGUGGCGGACGGGUGAGUAACGCGUGGGUAACCUGCCUUAUACAGGGGGAUAACAGUUGGAAACGACUGCUAAUACCGCAUAAGCGCACGGUAUCGCAUGAUACAGUGUGAAAAACUCCGGUGGUAUAAGAUGGACCCGCGUCUGAUUAGCUUGUUGGUGAGGUAACGGCCCACCAAGGCGACGAUCAGUAGCCGGCCUGAGAGGGUGAACGGCCACAUUGGGACUGAGACACGGCCCAAAACUCCUACGGGAGGCAGCAGUGGGGAAUAUUGCACAAUGGGGAAACCCGUAGAUGCAGCGACGCCGCGUGAGUGAUGAAGU
rnacentral:rRNA from 1 species